AGCGUAGGUGGCCUAACAUGUCAAUUGUGAAAACCCGGAGCUCAACUCCGGACUUGCAGUUGAAACUGGUAGGCUUGAGGACGGUAGAGGAAGACGGAACUGCCAGUGUAGGGGUAAAAUCCUUAGAUAUUGGCAGGAACGCCGGUGACGAAGGUGGUUUUCUGGGCCGGUUCUGACACUGAUGCUCGAAAGCCAGGGGAGCGAACG
rnacentral:rRNA from 1 species